rnacentral:rRNA from 1 species
UUUGACCUACGGGAGGCAGCAGUGGGGAGUAUUGCACAAUGGGGGAAACCCUGAUGCAGCGACGCCGCGUGAGUGAAGAAGUAUUUCGGUAUGUAAAGCUCUAUCAGCAGGGAAGAAAAAAGACGGUACCUGACUAAGAAGCCCCGGCUAACUACGUGCCAGCAGCCGCGGUAAUACGUAGGGGGCAAGCGUUAUCCAGAUUUACUGGGUGUAAAGGGAGCGUAGACGGCAGUGCAAGUCUGGAGUGAAAGGCGGGGGCUCAACCCCCGGACUGCUCUGGAAACUGUACGGCUGGAGUGCAGGAG